CAAAAACAUCGCCUCCUGCAAAAAUCAAUGUAUAGGAGGUCCUGCCUGCCCAGUGACUAAAUUAAACGGCCGCGGUAUUUUGACCGUGCAAAGGUAGCGCAAUCACUUGUUUUUUAAAUAAAGACCUGUAUGAAUGGUGAAACGAGGGCUUAACUGUCUCCUUUUUCUGAUCAGUGAAAUUGAUCUACCCGUGCAGAAGCGGGUAUAAAAAUACAAGACGAGAAGACCCUAUGGAGCUUAAGACAAAAAAUCAACUAUGUUAAAAACCCCUAUUAAGGGAAUAAAACAAAACAGCAACUGAUUAGCGUCUUCGGUUGGGGCGACUACGGGGGAAAACCAAUCCCCCACGUGGAAUAGAACACAACUCUAAAACCAUGAGACACACCUCUAAGUCACAGAACUUCUGACCAAAUGAUCCGGCAACCAGCCGAUCAACGAACCAAGUUACCCUAGGGAUAACAGCGCAAUCCCCUCCAAGAGUCCAUAUCGACAAGGGGGUUUACGACCUCGAUGUUGGAUCAGGACAUCCUAAUGGUGCAGCCGCUAUUAAGGGUUCGUUUGUUCAACGAUUAAAGUCCUACGUGAUCUGAG
rnacentral:rRNA from 1 species